CAGCUGAAACAUUUCCUUACUCUCAGCUUCUCUCUCUUCUCCUUCAAGAAACGUUUCCUUACUCUCAGCUUCUCCCUCUUCUCCUUCAAGAACUCCUCAAGGAGGCUUUUAACUCUCACAUUCAAUCUCAUAGAGGUUUCAAAAUCAAAACUGGUUUCAUCCACCUCCAAUUCCAAAUUCCUCUUGCACCCUCUUCAAAACCCUAGACUCCACCAACCCCAACUUUGUCGCAUGCCUCCGCUAAGCAUUCGCGCCCGAUGCUUUGGUCCAGAUCCUUCUCGUCCUCCUCCAUGCUCCAACACAAUUCCCCAUUCCCAAAAUUUCUCAUUCUCCCUUUCCUCUUCGAACCCAAAAUUUCAUACUUUCGUUUCGUUCAUUCGGCGUAGAAGCAAAAGAGAGAGAGAGAGAGAGAGAGGGAAAAAGGUUGCUACCAACAAGAAACAAACACAGUGUUGCUUGAUUCCACGGUGGCCAGAACCAACGUUAGCAGGGGAGGAGAGGGGCAAAACGGUGGUCUUCAGGGAACUUUCGUGCUCAACUAUUGGCCAAUGCAGAAGCUGCAACAGAAAAGAACAAGGCUGUUAUUCUCUUUAACCUGAUUUUUUUUUGGACUUUUUAGUUUUUGCGUAUCUGAUUUUCAAAUAAAUCAGUGAAGAAAUUUGUUUUCUUUUUGGUGACUGCUGUGUCUCUAACUCUAAGUGAAUGGUUGUUAUCCAGAAACCAAGCACUGAAGUGAAUAAUGGAGCAGUGUUGGCAACUGAUGGGGUUGGUGUGCAUAGGAAGAUGUUUGUGUGCAUGACUACAUGGGUUUGCAGGCAGAUAUUAAUGCCAAGAUGAGGUCAAUCCUUGUGGACUGGUUGAUAGAAGUGCAUAGGAAGUUUGAGCUCAUGCCAGAAACUCUUUAUUUGACCUUGAACAAUGCCUUCUUAACAGGCUUUCUGAAUCUCAUGUUGAGCAAAUUACUGGGGAAUUGUCCCUGAUCUUUCAGGGACAGUAUGUGGAGCUUACUUGGCUUAGAAUUAUCAAGUUCCUAACGUCACAAAGUUAGCCGGCACUGCCUUGUUCCUGGCAAAAGUUGUGGAGGAAAAAUACCGCAAGCCCAAGAAGAGGGAUGAUGAUGAUGAUUAGUGCCUAACAGGUGCUAUAUUGGAAUCAGGGCGAUCCUUUUCGGGUUACUUCAACUGACAAAAUGCUGAUCGAGUUACUAUGGCCAGGAUUGGUUGACUCCAUUCGAACACCUAACCUGAUUAACAACAUUACCUUACGUAGAAUUAUCAUAUUCAAUGUGUUUUACAUAAAAUUAUCUAUUACAUAUGCAGAUAAAUGUUCAGUCUUGGGAAAUGAAACACAAUGAUGGUACCUAAUUGUCGUUUGCUUUAACGAUAAGAAAAUUUAUCAUCUGGAUU